AAUCAACGCUGGCGGCGUGCCUAACACAUGCAAGUCGAACGAGAAAGGGGGACUUCGGUCCCUGAGUACAGUGGCGCACGGGUGAGUAACACGUGACUUAUCUACCCUCGAGUGGGGAAUAACUUCGGGAAACCGAGGCUAAUACCGCAUAAUACCCACGGGUCAAAGGAGCAAUUCGCUUGAGGAGGGGCGUCGCGCUAGUUAGUUGUCGGGACGGUAGCGACCCACGANACGUGAUCGGUAUCCGGCCUGAGAGGGCGCACGGACACACUGGAACUGAAACACGGUCCAGACUCCUACGGGAGGCAGCAGUGGGGAAUUUUGCGCAAUGGGGGAAACCCUGACGCAGCAACGCCGCGUGGAGGAUGAAGUCUCUUGGGACGUAAACUCCUUUCGAUCGGGACGAUUAUGACGGUACCGGAAGAAGAAGCCCCGGCUAACUUCGUG
rnacentral:rRNA from 1 species